rnacentral:rRNA from 1 species
UACGUAGGGGGCAAGCGUUAUCCGGAAUUAUUGGGCGUAAAGAGCUCGUAGGCGGUUUGUCGCGUCUGCUGUGAAAACUGGGGGCUCAACCCCCAGCCUGCAGUGGGUACGGGCAGACUAGAGUGCGGUAGGGGAGAUUGGAAUUCCUGGUGUAGCGGUGGAAUGCGCAGAUAUCAGGAGGAACACCGAGUGGCGAAGGCAGAUCUCUGGGCCGUAACUGACGCUGAGGAGCGAAAGCGUGGGGAGCGAACAGG